rnacentral:lncRNA from 1 species
UUUGUGUUUUUGUUUUCUUUUUUUUUUUUGCGUUCUAUUUAUUUUUAGUUUUCAAACAUGUUUAAAAUAUUGUUUCUGUUUUGGUAGGAAGAAGGUACUUUUUCAAUAACCUACUCUCGGGGGAACUGUGUGGCAAUGGAGUGUGUGUGUGUGUGUGUGUGUGUGUGUCUUUCAGAGUUCAGCAGAGACUCUGAAGCAAGGAAAGUGUUUUGUGUUCGUCCCGCUGUGGCCUUGGUCUAGUUGUAGAUUACCACAUCCUGGGUAGUUUUACACACACCAACUUCAUGUGCUGCUGAAGCCAGAGGCUGUGAAUCUGCAGAAAAAGACCUAGUUCUUUUGAGCUCUGGUGAGAGACCCGAUACCCAACCAUUUAUUCCAGCUUUUCGAAUUUGUGCUGGUUGCAGGUUCACAGAGUAUGAAGGCCUCUGGUUCUAUUCAGCUGCCUCCUCUUUCGGCUACGCUGCCUCUCCAGGCGGGAGGACUUGGGGAUCUGCAGAGAAGGGAGCCUUUGCAGGUGUAGUGCUGAAGACCCGUUUACCAGGUUUUUUAAUCUGUGGGCCUCCACUCAGUCAUCGAUGGGAGAAGAUUUCGGUUGGAGCUGCUUUGGCUUACAAAGAAAAUCGUGGCACAACUGUUGGCUAG